UCGAGGAUCUUCGGCAAUGGGCGCAAGCCUGACCGAGCGACGCCGCGUGUGCGAUGAAGGCCUUCGGGUUGUAAAGCACUGUCGAGGGGGAGGAAAGCCCGCAAGGGCCUGACCUAUCCCUGGAGGAAGCACGGGCUAAGUUCGUGCCAGCAGCCGCGGUAAGACGAACCGUGCGAACGUUGUUCGGAUUCAUUGGGCUUAAAGGGCGCGUAGGCGGCCGCUCAAGUCGGGGGUGAAAUCUUUCAGCUCAACUGGAAAAUAGCCUCCGAUACUGGGCGGCUGGAGGGAGAUAGGGGUGCGCGGAACUUCCGGUGGAGCGGUGAAAUGCGUAGAUAUCGGAAGGAACGCCGGUGGCGAAAGCGGCGCACUGGAUCUCAUCUGACGCUGAGGCGCGAAAGCCAGGGGAGCAAACGG
rnacentral:rRNA from 1 species